ACUGAUUUAUUAUAGGUAGUAUACUUGCUUUUCGUGUAGGAGGGGGUGUUAUCACCAAUCAGUG
rnacentral:tRNA from 1 species